rnacentral:rRNA from 1 species
CCAUCCCGAACACAGAAGUUAAGCUCCACAGAGCCGAUGGUACUUGGACCGCAGGGUCCUGGGAGAGUAGGACGUCGCUAGGC